rnacentral:lncRNA from 1 species
UGCGGAAGCAGGAAUAUGAGCUGUUUGGGCAGAAACAGAGGAGCAAGCUGCUGCCUGCCUCUGGGAGAAGGAAACAGUCUCUUCUGCAGAAGGCAAGAAAGCUGCUGAGACGUGGCAGGGGAGAUGAUCCCUCUCCUUGAGGUGCUGACCUCUGAGGCGAAGAAGCUGAAGCUUUGUCCUCCUACUACCCUGCUCCUUACAGUUCCAAAGUUUCUUUUUCCCAAUGAGUCUUUACCAAGCACAAUGGUAUCUGGAGAAACCUCUCAUAGAAAGGCUGAAGAUGUCCUGACAGCAUUUCCUUGCCUUUGGGAGUUCGUGAAAGCUUCCUCAUGCUCUGUAAUUGCAUCUCCUCCUCUCUGAGGGCACUGGGAAAUCUGGCUGGCGGAGGGAAGAAGGCCUUAAUGCAGG